rnacentral:rRNA from 1 species
AGCGGCGGACGGGUGAGUAACACGUGGGCAACCUGCCUCAUAGAGGGGGAUAGCCUCCCGAAAGGGAGAUUAAUACCGCAUAACACUGCGGAUUCGCAUGAAACUGCAGUUAAAGGAGCAAUCCGCUAUGAGAUGGGCCCGCGGCGCAUUAGCUAGUUGGUGAGGUAACGGCUCACCAAGGCGACGAUGCGUAGCCGACCUGAGAGGGUGAUCGGCCACAUUGGAACUGAGACACGGUCCAGACUCCUACGGGAGGCAGCAGUGGGGAAUAUUGCACAAUGGGCGAAAGCCUGAUGCAGCAACGCCGCGUGGAGGAAGAAGGCCUUCGGGUUGUAAACUCUUGUCUUCUGGGACGAUAAUGACGGUACCAGAGGAGGAAGCCACGGCUAACUACGUGCCAGCAGCCGCGGUAAUACGUAGGUGGCGAGCGUUGUCCGGAUUUACUGGGCGUAAAGGAUGCGUAGGCGGAUAUUUAAGUGGGAUGUGAAAUACCCGGGCUUAACCUGGGUGCUGCAUUCCAAACUGGAUAUCUAGAGUGCAGGAGAGGAAAGCGGAAUU